UGGGGGGGUUAUCGGAUUUACUGGGCGUAAAGCGUGCGUAGGCGGCUGAUUAAGUCGGAUGUGAAAUCCCUGAGCUUAACUUAGGAAUUGCAUUCGAUACUGGUCAGCUAGAGUAUGGGAGAGGAUGGUAGAAUUCCAGGUGUAGCGGUGAAAUGCGUAGAGAUCUGGAGGAAUACCGAUGGCGAAGGCAGCCAUCUGGCCUAAUACUGACGCUGAGGUACGAAAGCAUGGGGAGCAAACGGGAUUAGAUACCCCGGUAGUCCUAGCCGUAAACGUUGGGCACUAGGUGUGGGAGGUAUCGACCCCUUCCGUGCCGCAGCUAACGCAUUAAGUGCCCCGCCUGGGGAGUACGGCCGCAAGACUAAAACUCAAAUGAAUUGACGGGGGCCCGCACAAGCGGUGGAGCAUGUGGUUUAAUUCGAUGCAACGCGAAGAACCUUACCUGGCCUUGACAUAGUAAGAACUUUCCAGAGAUGGAUUGGUGCCUUCGGGAACUUACAUACAGGUGCUGCAUGGCUGUCGUCAGCUCGUGUCGUGAGAUGUUGGGUUAAGUCCCGCAACGAGCGCAACCCUUUUCCUUAUUUGCCAGCACUUCGGGUGGGAACUUUAAGGAUACUGCCAGUGACAAACUGGAGGAAGGCGGGGACGACGUCAAGUCAUCAUGGCCCUUACGGCCAGGGCUACACACGUGCUACAAUGGUCGGUACAAAGGGUUGCUACACAGCGAUGUGAUGCUAAUCUCAAAAAGCCGAUCGUAGUCCGGAUUGGAGUCUGCAACUCGACUCCAUGAAGUCGGAAUCGCUGGUAAUCGCGGAUCAGAAUGCCGCGGUGAAUACGUUCCCGGGCCUUGUACACACCGCCCGUCACACCAUGGGAGUUUGUUGCACCAGAAGUAGCUAGCCUAACUGCAAAGAGGGCGGUUACCACGGUGUGGCCGAUGACUGGGGUGAAGUCGUAACAAGGUAACCAGG
rnacentral:rRNA from 1 species